AAGGUGGGGCGAUCUGCCGCCCGUAAGGGAGGAAAGUCCGGACAGGACAGGGCAUCCCGCUGCGGAAAGCGCAGGUAGGGGUAACCUUACGCCCGUCGUAACAGAAAACAACCGCCUACUCCGUCAUCCCCGACCUGAUCGGGGAUCUCGGAAGGGUAAGGGUGAAAACGCGGGGCAAGAGCCCACGACGCACGGCAGCGAUGUCGCGCGGGUACGACACCGGGACCUGCAAGACCAAAUAUACUGGCAGACGAGGACGGCCCGUCCGAUGCCAGGGGGUAGGUUGCGAAGAUAAAUGGCAGAAAAAACGUGAACAGAAACCGGCUUACGGCUCCACCUUUUCU
rnacentral:RNase_P_RNA from 1 species